rnacentral:rRNA from 1 species
GACAGAGGGGGCAAGCGUUGCUCGGAAUCAUUGGGCGUAAAGAGCUCGUAGGCGGCCAGUUGCGUCCGCUGUGAAAUCCCAGGGCUUAACCCUGGGCGUGCAGUGGAUACGGGCUGGCUGGAGGCAGGCAGGGGAGAACGGAAUUCCCGGUGUAGCGGUGAAAUGCGCAGAUAUCGGGAGGAACACCGGUGGCGAAGGCGGUUCUCUGGGCCUGUACUGACGCUGAGGAGCGAAAGCGUGGGGAGCGAACAGG